rnacentral:rRNA from 1 species
UACGUAGGGUGCGAGCGUUGUCCGGAAUUAUUGGGCGUAAAGAGCUCGUAGGCGGUUUGUCGCGUCGAAUGUGAAAACCCGGGGCUCAACCCCGGGCCUGCAUUCGAUACGGGCAGACUAGAGUUCGGUAGGGGAGUCUGGAAUUCCUGGUGUAGCGGUGAAAUGCGCAGAUAUCAGGAGGAACACCGGUGGCGAAGGCGGGACUCUGGGCCGAUACUGACGCUGGAGGAGCGAAAGCGUGGGGAGCAAACAGG